AUUGAACGCUGGCGGCAGGCCUAACACAUGCAAGUCGAACGAGUGGCGGACGGGUGAGUAAUGUCUGGGAAACUGCCCGAUGGAGGGGGAUAACUACUGGAAACGGUAGCUAAUACCGCAUACCAUCGGAUGUGCCCAGAUGGGAGUAGCUAGGAGGUGGGGUAACGGCUCAACUAGGCGACGAUCCCUAGCUGGUAUGAGAGGAUGACCAGCGACGAUGGAACUGAGACACGGUCCAGACUCCUACGGGAGGCAGCAGUGGGGAAUAGUGCACAAUGGGCGCACGCCUGAUGCAGCCAUGCCGCGGGUAGGAAGAAGGCCUUCGGGUUGGAAAGUACUUUCAGCGAGGAGGCGUUACUCGCAGAAUAAGCACCGGCUAACUCCGUGCCAGCAGCCGCGGUAAUAC
rnacentral:rRNA from 1 species